CAGAGGUCUCAAGCGUUGUUCGGAUUCAUUGGGCGUAAAGGGUGCGUAGGUGGCGCUGUAAGUCGGGUGUGAAAUUUCGGAGCUUAACUCCGAAACUGCAUUCGAUACUGCGGUGCUUGAGGACUGGAGAGGAGACUGGAAUUCAUGGUGUAGCAGUGAAAUGCGUAGAGAUCAUGAGGAAGACCAGUGGCGAAGGCGGGUCUCUGGACAGUUCCUGACACUGAGGCACGAAGGCCAGGGGAGCAAACGGGAUUAGAUACCCCGGUAGUCCUGGCAGUAAACGGUGCACGUUUGGUGUGGGAGGAUUCGACCCCUUCCGCGCCGGAGCUAACGCGUUAAACGUGCCGCCUGGGGAGUACGGUCGCAAGAUUA
rnacentral:rRNA from 1 species